rnacentral:rRNA from 1 species
CGAGACCAGGACGUUGAUAGGUCGGGUGUGGAAGAGUGGUAACACUUGCAGCUAACCGAUACUAAUUGCUCGUGAGGCUUGACUCU